CAACACACCGAUCCGGCUUCUCUGUUCUGUUCAGAAACAUUGGAAGAAUACUUGACAGCCUUCAAGUUCUUUCAAGGAUCUAUAAAGAAUUUAUGGUGUGGUUACAUUAGCAAAUGUGGUAUGCUGGUGUACAUCAGGUUUAGAAAAGCAACAAUGAUAGUGUGUGAAGUUAAUGACCUUGUACCUGGUCAGAGAACCUUGCUUGUCAAAUUCCGGGGAGUUCUCACUGAAACCCUGAAUACCUGCCGAAAGCGAAACAUUUUCACAGUGGAAAAGUGCAGAUACACAUGUAUAAGGAGGCUGGCUGACAAUAUGGGAUGUGAGCUUUUCCAGCUACUUGGCAUUGUACAGACUGAUGUGUUCCAGGAUAAGUCACAGAAAGCUUUAUGACGCCACAGGAACCAAGGCAAAAUCAACUUGUCUUAUUAUCAAACAAUUUAGGAAGAAGAAAACAGAAUAACAGGAAAGCAAGUUAUGAAAGUGUCAUCUGCAAAAUAAGAUGUAUAUGCAUCUACCAGAGAAAUAUAAAUGUAUCUUUAUUUUAGAGGUAAGAAAAUAGAAGUCAUUUCCAAAGACUCUGUUAAUAAUCUUAGGAAUUACAAGUACCAAGCUUGCAAGGACUAGCAUUUGUGUUGAGUUAUAAAGCUCAAAUUUUCUAUGUUAUAUCUGCCUUUAUUACUUGUGUUGCAUUAUUCUUUCUUUACAUACUGACUAUCUGGUUAAAGUUACUACAAAAAUGCCAUUUUUUUGUUGUUUUUCUCUGUAAUGUAUUAAUUCUGAAUGCCUUGUUCUACUGAGGCAGGCUUCCCAACUUUUUGUUUGGUUCCUAACGAUUCAUCUGAUUCAGUUGGAACCAGCACUAAAACUAUCAAAGCAUUUUUAUUUAAGGAAUUUGCUAAUGAAAACUGAACCCAGCUGUCCCCAUGAUGCUUGUAUUUCUUUCCAUAUUUUUUCCAAUUAUAUUUUGUAAAUAGCAAAAGUAUGCACAGCUAGUUAAAUACAAAACUGAAGUUACUGAAAUAAUACUGGGCAUUACAGUUGUGUACAUGAAAUAGUUUAGAACUUUAAUGAACUAACAACCCCUGCAAGUCAUAGUAGCAACUGUGCAAACACUGAUAUAACUUAUCUCUAAGAAUUUUUCCCCAAGUUCUAUGCUGUCCUGCUGCAGGCAACUGCUCCUCUAUCUUAAAGUAGAAAGGAGAGGAGGAGGGGGGUGGGGAAAAAAAAAGUCCUAGUUGGAUUGUGAUGUAUUUUAGUCACCUAAAAUAGUGAGUAUGCUCAUGUACAUGCAAUAUAUAAUGUGCAGUGAACAUAUGAAGUUCAUCCAAUUCCACAUUUCCUUACAAAUUCUGUGUUUCCUCAAAAAGAAGGGYAGAUUUAUGGAGUUUUCAGGCAAAUCUAUCCAUAGUUGUUUUAUUCAUUUGUUUAAAGAUUUCACAAUGAAAGUAAAUAGCAUUUUCCUUUUCCCUGUGUGUUUCAUCCUAUCAUUUCAACUGUGUUUUCUUUCAGUACAUAGGAUUAAUUCUAAUUUAAAACACGAGGUAAAAUGUGUGUCUUCAUGUUCAGACUUCAUCCAAACUGGAUUCUAUUAUAGCCCAUUUUGUUCAGGACUAUGCCCAAAGAGACAACUGAUCUUUGAAAUGCUUGCAAGGCCUUACUUGGUUUGCCUAUUCUUAAUUAUAUGAACUCAUAACCUUAUUUUGUAUAGGUAUCAAAGCCAUUUUCUUUCUAAUUAUGGAACAACAUCUACUGCUGCUCAGCCCAGCUAGGGU